CGUGUAGGUGGAUAAAUAAGUCAUGUGUGAAAGGUCCGGGCUUAACCUGGAAUCGUCAUGUGAUACUGUUAAUCUAGAGUAGAGUAGAGGGGAGUAGAAUUUCCGGUGUAGCGGUGAAAUGCGUAGAGAUCGGAAAGAAUACCAGUGGCGAAGGCGACUUCCUGGGCUCAUACUGACACUGAGGCGCGAAAGCGUGGGUAGCGAACA
rnacentral:rRNA from 1 species